rnacentral:rRNA from 1 species
GGACGGGACCGCACAAGCGGUGGAUGAUGUGGAUUAAUUCGAUGCAACGCGAAGAACCUUUACCUACCCUUGACAUGUCCGGAACUUGCCAGAGAUGGCUUGGUGCCCGAAAGGGAAUCGGAACACAGGUGCUGCAUGGCUGUCGUCAGCUCGUGUCGUGAGAUGUUGGGUUAAGUCCCGCAACGAGCGCAACCCUUAUCAUUAGUUGCUACGCAAGGGCACUCUAAUGAGACUGCCGGUGACAAACCGGGGAAGGUGGGGAUGACGUCAAGUCCUCAUGGCCCUUAUGGGUAGGGCUUCACACGUCAUACAAUGGUCGGUACAGAGGGUUGCCAAGCCGCGAGGCGGAGCCAAUCCCACAAAGCCGAUCGUAGUCCGGAUUGUUCUCUGCAACUCGAGAGCAUGAAGUCGGAAUCGCUAGUAAUCGCAGGUCAGCAUACUGCGGUGAAUACGUUCCCGGGUCUU